rnacentral:rRNA from 1 species
GGCUUCCGUGCGGCUCGCGAUGGCAGGGACCUCGGUCUCGCGUCACGCGUCCGCUGCGGUAUGUCCGGGUGCCGUCGGCGUGCACUUCUCCCCUAGUAGGACGUCGCGACCCGUUGGGUGUCGGCCUACGGCCCGGUCGGUCGACUGUCGCGUCGCGUUAACCCGCGCACGCGGCAGACCACCGGUCGCCCGGCCGACUGCCCGGCGGUAUAGAUCGCUAUUAAACACGGUAUUGGGCCGCAUCAAGUGCGUUCUGGCUCGCCGGCAGGCUCGUCUCGCUCGGAUUUACGGACCUAGCGCCGUUGCCGGGCGCUUGGCGUGGCCGUUAGUCGACGAUGUCCUCGGACUGGCUCUUACAUUCGAACGAAUAUACCGGU